GGUCAAGCUACUAAGGGCACACGGUGGAUGCCUUGGCACCAGAAGGCGAUGAAGGACGUGGUAAGCUGCGAUAAGCCUCGGGAAGGUGCAAACAACCAUAGAUCCGGGGAUCUCCGAAUGGGGCAACCCUCUCAGGGGAAUGCCUGAGAAUCGUCCCGAUGAACACAUAGUUGGGACGAGGCGAACGGGGGGAACUGAAACAUCUUAGUACCCCUAGGAAGAGAAAGUAGCGACGAUUUCCUCAGUAGCGGCGAGCGAAAGGGAAAGAGCCCAAACCAGUCUGUACGCUAAAACCUGCGCGUGUUGUACAGUUGGUGUAGCGGGGCCGGAUCGGGCGAGGGUGCAGACUCGCCG
rnacentral:ncRNA from 1 species